rnacentral:rRNA from 1 species
AGGGGGACCAGCUGGCGAAGGCGGCUGUCUGGUCUGUAACUGACGCUGAGGCUCGAAAGUAUGGGUAGCAAACAGGAUUAGAUACCCUGGUAGUCCAUACCGUAAACGAUGAAUGCUAAGUGUUGGAGGGUUUCCGCCCUUCAGUGCUGCAGCUAACGCAUUAAGCAUUCCGCCUGGGGAGUACGGCCGCAAGGCUGAAACUCAAAGGAAUUGACGGGGGCCCGCACAAGCGGUGGAGCAUGUGGUUUAAUUCGAAGCUACGCGAAGAACCUUACCAGGUCUUGACAUACUAUGCAAAUCUAAGAGAUUAGACGUUCCCUUCGGGGACAUGGAUACAGGUGGUGCAUGGUUGUCGUCAGCUCGUGUCGUGAGAUGUUGGGUUAAGUCCCGCAACGAGCGCAACCCUUAUUAUCAGUUGCCAGCAUUAAGUUGGGCACUCUGGUGAGACUGCCGGUGACAAACCGGAGGAAGGUGGGGAUGACGUCAAAUCAUCAUGCCCCUUAUGACCUGGGCUACACACGUGCUACAAUGGAUGGUACAACGAGUUGCGAACUCGCGAGAGUAAGCUAAUCUCUUAAAGCCAUUCUCAGUUCGGAUUGUAGGCUGCAACUCGCCUACAUGAAGUCGGAAUCGCUAGUAAUCGCGGAUCAGCAUGCCGCGGUGAAUACGUUCCCGGGCCUUGUACACACCGCCCGUCACACCAUGAGAGUUUGUAACACCCAAAGUCGGUGGGGUAACCUUUUAGGAACCAGCCGCCUAAGGUGGGACAGAAUGCA